rnacentral:rRNA from 1 species
AGGAGGUCUUGCCUGCCCAGUGACAGUUAAACGGCCGCGGUAUUUUGACCGUGCGAAGGUAGCGCAAUCACUUGUCUUUUAAAUGAAGACCUGUAUGAAUGGUGGAACGAGGGCUUAACUGUCUCCCCCUUCAAAUCAAUGAAAUUGAUCUGCCCGUGCAGAAGCGGACAUACUUAUAUAAGACGAGAAGACCCUUUGGAGCUUAAGAUGUUAGAUCAACUAUGUCAAGAAUCACUAAACAAAUUAAACUAAAUAGCAACUGAUCCCUAUCUUCGGUUGGGGCGACCACGGGAGACAAUAAAGCUCCCAUGCGGAAUGGGGCCACCCCCUAAAACUAAGAAAGACAUUUCUAAGUCGCAGAAUAUCUGACCACCAAAGAAUCCGGGUAAUUUACCGAUUCAACGGAACCAAAGUUACCCUAAGGAUAACAGCGCAAUCCCCUUCAAGAGUUCCAUAUCGACAGGGGGUUUAACGACCUCGAUGUUGGAUCAGACAUCCUAAUGGUGCAGCCGCUAUUAAAGGUUCGUUUGUUCAACGAUUAAGUCCUACGUGA